GGAAUUUCGGGGAGCCCCAUGGGGACCUUGGGGAGGUGACAGCCCCAUGGGGACAUCAUGAAGCCCCAUGGGGACCUGGAGGGACCCCAUAGGGACUUGGUGGGACCCCAUGGGGACCUUGGAGCUCUAUGGGGUCCAUAGGGAUCUGGUGGCAGCCCCAUAGGGACAUGGUGGGACCCCAUGGGGACCUGGGGGUGGUGACAACCCCAUGGGGACAUCGUGGAGCCCCAUAGGAACCUGGUGGGACCCCAUGGGGACCUUGGAGCUCUAUGGGGUCCAUAGGAACCUGGUGGAGCCCCAUAGGGACAUGGUGGGACCCCAUGGGGACCUUGGGGAGGUGGCCGCCCCAUGGGGACCUGGGGGUGGUGACAACCCCAUGGGGACGUGGUGGGACCCCAUAGGAACCUGGUGGGACCCCAUGGACCUUGGAGCUCUAUGGGGUCCAUAGGGAUCUGGUGGCAGCCCCAUGGGGACAUCGUGGAGCCCCAUGGGGACCUGGUGGUACCCCAUAGGGACUUGGUGGGACUCCAUGGGGACCUUGGAGCUCUAUGGGGUCCAUAGGGACUUGGUGGGACCCCAUGGGGACCUCAUGGAGCUCCAUGGGGUCUAUAGGAACCUGGUGGGACCCCAUGGGGAUGUGGUGGGACCCCAUGGGGACCUGGGGGUGGUGGCAGCCCCAUGGGGACCUGGUGGGGACAUGGUGGGGUCCCGGUGGGGGUGUCGCCCCCUGACCCUUUUGGGGUGCCCCCAGGUUCCACAAGCUGGUGAUCGACGACGUGCGCCCCGAGGAUGAGGGCGAUUACACCUUCAUCCCCGACGGAUACGCACUGUCCCUGUCCGCAAAGCUCAACUUCCUCGGUGGGAC
rnacentral:lncRNA from 1 species